UACGUAGGGGGCAAGCGUUAUCCGGAUUUACUGGGUGUAAAGGGAGCGUAGACGGCUUUGCAAGCCAGAUGUGAAAGCCCGGGGCUCAACCUCGGGACUGCAUUUGGAACUGUAUGGCUGGAGUGUCGGAGAGGCAGGCGGAAUUCCUAGUGUAGCGGUGAAAUGUGUAGAUAUUAGGAGGAACACCAGUGGCGAAGGCGGCCUGCUGGACGAUGACUGACGCUGAGGCUCGAAAGCGUGGGGAGCAAACAGG
rnacentral:rRNA from 1 species